AUGCGCGAGGCGAUCGAGGAGGCAGAGGCGGC
rnacentral:scRNA from 1 species